rnacentral:rRNA from 1 species
GAUGAACGCUGGCGGCGUGCCUAAUACAUGCAAGUCGAACGCACAGCGAAAGGUGCUUGCAUCUUUCAAGUGAGUGGCGAACGGGUGAGUAACACGUGGAUAACCUACCUCAAGGUUGGGGAUAACAUUUGGAAACAGAUGCUAAUACCGAAUAAAACUUCGUAUCGCAUGAUACAAGGUUAAAAGGCGCUACGGCGUCACCUAGAGAUGGAUCCGCGGUGCAUUAGUUAGUUGUGGGUAAAGGCCUACCAAGACAAUGAUGCAUAGCCGAGUUGAGAGACUGAUCGGCCACAUUGGGACUGAGACACGGCCCAAACUCCUACGGGAGGCUGCAGUAGGGAAUCUUCCACAAUGGGCGAAAGCCUGAUGGAGCAACGCCGCGUGUGUGAUG